rnacentral:tRNA from 1 species
GGGUAGAUAGCUCAGUGGUAGAGCACAUGCUUAGCAAGCACAAGGUCCUGGAUUCAAUCCCCAGCACCUU